rnacentral:rRNA from 1 species
UACGUAGGUGGCGAGCGUUGUCCGGAUUUAUUGGGUUUAAAGGGUGCGUAGGCGGCUAUUUAAGUCAGCGGUGAAAUAUCUCAGCUUAACUGAGAGGGUGCCAUUGAUACUGGAUAGCUUGAGUACAGAUGAGGUAGGCGGAAUUGACGGUGUAGCGGUGAAAUGCAUAGAUAUCGUCAAGAACACCGAUAGCGAAGGCAGCUUACCAAGCUGUAACUGACGCUGAGGCACGAAAGUGUGGGGAUCAAACAGG